rnacentral:rRNA from 1 species
GAAAAACCUUACCUACCCUUGACAUGCCUGAAACCUCGCAGAGAUGUGAGGGUGCCCGAAAGGGGAGCCGGGACACAGGUGCUGCAUGGCUGUCGUCAGCUCGUGUCGUGAGAUGUUGGGUUAAGUCCCGCAACGAGCGCAACCCUUGCCAUUAGUUGCUACGAAAGGGCACUCUAAUGGGACUGCCGGUGACAAACCGGAGGAAGGUGGGGAUGACGUCAAGUCCUCAUGGCCCUUAUGGGUAGGGCUACACACGUCAUACAAUGGCUGGUACAGAGGGUUGCCAACCCGCGAGGGGGAGCCAAUCCCAUAAAACCAGUCGUAGUCCGGAUCGCAGUCUGCAACUCGACUGCGUGAAGUCGGAAUCGCUAGUAAUCGCGGAUCAGCAUGUCGCGGUGAAUACGUUCCCGGGUCUUGUACACACCGCCCGUCACACCAUGGGAGCGGGUUCUGCCAGAAGUAGUUAGCCUAACCGCAAGGAGGGCGAUUACCACGGCAGGGUUCGUGACUGGGGUGAAGUCGUAACAAGGUAGGCGUAGUGCU